GACCACUGCUUUCAGAGUUCGGUUAAGCCAUGCGAGGCAUUGUCGCAAGACAAGCCGCACUGCUCAGUAACACGUAGUCAACCUACCCUAUGGACGGGAAUAAUCUCGGGAAACUGAGCAUAAUACCCGGUGUACCACCAUUCCUGGAAUGGUUGGUGGUUAAAAUGAUUCGUCGCCGUAGGAUGGGACUGCGACUUAUCAGCUUGUUGGUGAGGUAAAGGCCCACCAAGGCGAUUACAGGUACGGGCUCUGAGAGGAGAAGCCCGGAGAUGGGUACUGAGACACGGACCCAGGCCCUAUGGGGCGCGGCAGGCGAGAAAACUUUGCAAUGUGCGAAAGCACGACAAGGUUAAUCCGAGUGAUUUCUGCUAAAGGAAUCUUUUGCCAGUUCUAAAAAUACUAGUGAAUAAGGGGUGGGCAAGUUCUGGUGUCAGCCGCCGCGGUAAAACCAGCACCUCAAGUGGUCAGGAGGAUUAUUGGGCCUAAAGCAUCCGUAGCCUGCUCUGUAAGUUUUCGGUUAAAUCUAUAUGCUCAACAUAUAGGCCGCCGAAAAUACUGCAGUGCUAGGAAGUGGGGGAGGUAGACGGUACUUGAUAGGAAGGGGUAAAAUCCUUUGAUCUAUCGAUGACCACCUGUGGCGAAGGCGGUCUACCAGAACACGUUCGACGGUGAGGGAUGAAAGCUGGGGGAGCAAACCGGAUUAGAUACCCGGGUAGUCCCAGCUGUAAACGAUGCAGACUCGAUGAUGCAUUGGCAUAUAGCCAGUGCAGUGUCGCAGGGAAGCCGUUAAGUCUGCCGCCUGGGAAGUACGUACGCAAGUAUGAAACUUAAAGGAAUUGGCGGGGGAGCACCACAAGGGGUGAAGCCUGCGGUUC
rnacentral:rRNA from 1 species